UACGUAGGGACCAAGCGUUGUCCGGAAUCAUUGGGCGUAAAGAGCGUGUAGGCGGCUUGUUAAGUCUUGCGUGAGAUCUCGGGGCUCAACCCCGAGCGGUCGUGAGAAACUGGCAGGCUAGAGUGCGGGAGAGGAGAGUGGAAUUCCUGGUGUAGCGGUGAAAUGCGCAGAUAUCAGGAAGAACACCCGUGGCGAAGGCGGCUCUCUGGAACGCAACUGACGCUGAGACGCGAAAGCGUGGGGAGCAAACAGG
rnacentral:rRNA from 1 species